rnacentral:rRNA from 1 species
CUUGAGAGGGUAAGGCUCCCAGUAGACGACUGGGUUGAUAGGCCGGAUAUGGAAGCCCAGUAAUGGGUGGAGUUGACCGGUACUAAUAGGCCGAGGGCUUGUCCUC